CAGUCAAAGCAAGCUGUGGGUCUGGGGGCUUAUGAUUGUUUUUCUAUCUCUGAAAUAAACGAAAAGGGGGAAAUGUGGUGGAAUGAGAAGGUCAUGCCAAGAUGGCUACUGGCAACAGAAACUGCCUGGCAACAGGCCAUGACUGGAUGGCUUCGGAAACCACAUGACAGUAGAGCCUGACUGACAACAGGCCGUGAUUGGAUGGUUUCGGAAACUGCCUGGCAACAGGCUGUGAUUGGUUAGGGCAUAGACCGCCCCUUGACCGGAUUGGCUGCCUUGGCUAUAUAAGCAGCUGUAGCACCUGAAAUAAAUGAGUCUGCGGGCUGCUUGCCUCAGGCCUGCUUUCACCUGGUUUCCGGGGUCUGUGUGGUGACUCCGCGCCUCUUUCCCCCCACCACACUCCUCCUCUCGGAAACGAAUCCAUGGCAACAAUAUCCCAGGACACUAUUGAUUGUGUUGUUCCCUGGAAAACCAGGUUCAUCUUGUGUUUUGUUUCCUGGAUACUCAGACUAUCCACGUGUCAUUUCCUGGGAAGGCUGAGUUGUGUGUGUUAUUUAGGAGAGGCCUGGGUCUGUGUUGUUUCCUCAGAUGCUAUGGUCUGCACCUGUGAUUUUCAUGAGUGGUCAGGAUCUGCAUGUUUAUAUUGGUUCCUGCCCAGAAUUCGUGUGUUGUUUUCUUGAAAGACAGGGACUGUAUGUGUGUUGUUUUCUGGGAGAUCAGAGUCUACAUGUGUUUUGAACCCUGAGAGACUUGAAUCUGUUUAUGUUGUUUCCAGGAAUUCCAGGAUCUGUGGUUGUGUUUUUUCUUAGAGGCCAGAGUCUAUGAAUGUGUUGUUUCUGGGAGGCCAGGGUCUGUGUGUAUUAUGUUUCCUGGGAGGUCCAAAUCUAUGUAUUGUUUCCUGGGAGGUCAGGGUCAUUGUGUGUGUUGUUUCCUGUGAUGCCCUUGUCCGCAUGUGUGUUGUUUCCAGGGGGAACAGGGUCUGUGUGUGUGUGUGGUUUCCUGGGAGUCAGGGCCUACGUUUGCUUUGAUCCUGGGAAGUGUGAGUCUGUUUAUAUUGUCUCUGUAAUCCCAGGGUCUGUGGUUGUGUUUUUCCCUCGACAGCCAGGGUCUGCCUGCAUUUUGUUUCCUGGUAGGUCAGGGGCCUGCCUGUGCUGAUUCAUAGGAUCCCCAUGUCCGUGCCUGUGUUGUUCACUGGAGCCCAGCAUUGGCUUGUGUUCUGUUCCUGCAAAGCAUGGCCCUUCCAAAAAAACAACACAUGCACAAUCAUGGUUUCCCAGCUAAAAAUACACACAGAUAUGGAUCUCCCAGGAAACAGCACCUGCACAGUCCCUGGACCCCCAGGAAACACACGUACAGACCCUGGCAUCUUUGAAAAAAAAAAAAACACAUACAGACCUGGAACUCCCAGGCACACGUGUAGACCCAGGCAUCAAGGAAACAAGACACAAUGACACUGACCUACCCAGAACAAAACACACACAGAGCCUGUCCUCCCAGGAAACAACACAUAUACACCCUGAAUUCCCAGGAGCAAACCACAUGCAGAUGCUUGUAUCUACUAAACAACAUGUGUGCAGACCCUGUGGGUCUGUGUCUAUUUCCUGGCAUGCCGGGGUUUGUACCUGCGUUGUUUUUGGGAGGUCAGGCUCUGCACGUGUUUGUUUCCUGAAAGACAAGAAUCCAUGUGUGUGUUAUUUCCUGGGAUACCAGGGUCUGUGCUGGUGUUGCUUUGAGGGGCCAGGAUCUGCAUGUGUGUUGCUUCCUGGGAGACCAGUGUAGAAUGGUUCUUAUUUACUGGGAGGCCAUGAUCUGUGUGUGUCUUCUUGGUUUCUUUGUCGGGGGAGAAGGGCUAUGUUUGUGUUUGGUUUCCUGGCAGGUCAGGGUCUCUGUUUUUUCAGGAGGAAGAAAGGCCAGCAUAUGUGUUUUUGUUUCCUGGGAUGCCAGGUUUUGUGGGUGUGUGUGUGUGUGUGUGUGUGUGUUGUCUCUUUGAAGGCAGGGUCUGCCUGUGUUUGUUUCCUGAGAGUUCAGGGCUUGCAUGUGUAUAGCUAAGAUGCCAGAGUGGCACAUGUGAUGCUAUCCAGAAA
ensembl:lncRNA